rnacentral:rRNA from 1 species
UACAGAGGUCCCAAGCGUUGUUCGGAUUCACUGGGCGUAAAGGGUGCGUAGGCGGUUUGGUAAGUCUUGUGUGAAAUCUACAGGCUCAACUUGUAGUCUGCACGAGAAACUGCCGGGCUUGAGUGUGGGAGAGGUGAGUGGAAUUCCUGGUGUAGCGGUGAAAUGCGUAGAUAUCAGGAGGAACACCUGUGGCGAAAGCGAGGUCCUGGACGUUACUGACGCUGAGACGCGAAAGCCAGGGGAGCGAACGGG